rnacentral:tRNA from 1 species
GGGCGCGUGGUCUAGGGGUAUGAUUUUCGCUUUGCAUUGCCUGAUGCAAUAUUGUGAACGGUCGGGGGUUCAAUUCCCUCCGCGUCCA